rnacentral:rRNA from 1 species
UAGGGAAUCUUCCGCAAUGGACGAAAGUCUGACGGAGCAACGCCGCGUGAGCGAAGAAGGUCUUCGGAUCGUAAAGCUCUGUUGUUAGGGAAGAACAAGUACCGUUCGAAUAGGGCGGUACCGUGACGGUACCUAACCAGAAAGCCACGGCUAACUACGUGCCAGCAGCCGCGGUAAUACGUAGGUGGCAAGCGUUGUCCGGAAUUAUUGGGCGUAAAGCGCGCGCAGGCGGCUUCUUAAGUCUGAUGUGAAAGCCCGCAGCUCAACUGCGGAGGGUCAUUGGAAACUGGGAAGCUUGAGUGCAGAAGAGGAGAGUGGAAUUCCACGUGUAGCGGUGAAAUGCGUAGAGAUGUGGAGGAACACCAGUGGCGAAGGCGGCUCUCUGGUCUGUAACUGACGCUGAGGCGCGAAAGCGUGGGGAGCAAACAGGAUUAGAUACC